UCGGGAAUUUUGGGCAAUGGGCGAAAGCCUGACCCAGCAACGCCGCGUGAAGGAUGAAGUAUUUCGGUAUGUAAACUUCGAAAGAAUAGGAAGAAUAAAUGACGGUACUAUUUAUAAGGUCCGGCUAACUACGUGCCAGCAGCCGCGGUAAUACGUAGGGACCAAGCGUUGUUCGGAUUUACUGGGCGUAAAGGGCGCGUAGAUGGCCGAUUAAGUCGGAUGUGAAAGCCCCGGGCUCAACCUGGGAACGGCAUCCGAUACUGGUGGGCUAGAGUGCGGUAGAGGAGAGCGGAAUUCCCGGUGUAGCGGUGAAAUGCGUAGAGAUCGGGAGGAACAUCCGUGGCGAAGGCGGCUCUCUGGACCAGCACUGACGUUGAGGCACGAAAGCGUGGGGAGCAAACAGGAUUAGAUACCCACGUAGUCCCUGAGCGGGCUGGCAAGGCGCAU
rnacentral:rRNA from 1 species